UACGUAGGGUGCGAGCGUUAAUCGGAAUUACUGGGCGUAAAGCGUGCGCAGGCGGUUUUGUAAGCCAGAUGUGAAAUCCCCGGGCUUAACCUGGGAAUGGCAUUCAGGACUGCGAGGCUCGAGUGUGGCAGAGGGGGGUGGAAUUCCACGUGUAGCAGUGAAAUGCGUAGAGAUGUGGAGGAACACCGAUGGCGAAGGCAGCCCCCUGGGCUAACACUGACGCUCAGGCACGAAAGCGUGGGGAGCAAACAGG
rnacentral:rRNA from 1 species